GGGGGAAGGGCCAGAUCCAGGGCUGUGUCCCCGGUGCCCUGGGAUGGGGGCCUGCACCGCGAGAAUCGUGCUCCCGGCCGUUCAGUCUCCU
rnacentral:pre_miRNA from 1 species